rnacentral:rRNA from 1 species
UACGUAGGGUGCGAGCGUUGUCCGGAAUUAUUGGGCGUAAAGAGCGUGUAGGCGGCCAGGUAGGUCUGCUGUGAAAACUCGAGGCUCAACCUCGAGACGUCGGCGGAAACCAUCUGGCUAGAGUCCGGAAGAGGAGAGUGGAAUUCCUGGUGUAGCGGUGAAAUGCGCAGAUAUCAGGAAGAACACCCGUGGCGGAAGGCGGCUCUCUGGGACGGUAC